rnacentral:rRNA from 1 species
UACGGAGGGUGCGAGCGUUGUCCGGAAUCACUGGGCGUAAAGGGCGCGUAGGUGGCGCGAGAAGUCCGUGGUGAAAGCCCGAGGCUCAACUUCGGGUCUGCCCCGGAGACUCUCGUGCUCGAGUAUGGUAGAGGCUAAUGGAAUUCCGGGUGUAGCGGUGGAAUGCGUAGAGAUCCGGAAGAACACCGGUGGCGAAGGCGGUUAGCUGGGCCAUUACUGACACUGAUGCGCGACAGCGUGGGGAGCAAACAGG